GCCGUGGUAGCUCAGUGGUAGAGCGCCGCCCUGAAGAGGCGGGCGUCGUGGGUUCAAGUCCCACCUUCGGCA
rnacentral:tRNA from 1 species